rnacentral:rRNA from 1 species
UUUUGUGGAGAGUUUGAUCCUGGCUCAGGACGAACGCUGGCGGCGUGCUUAACACAUGCAAGUCGAACGAUGAAGCCUAGCAAUCUUUGGUUGUUGGGUGGAUUAGUGGCGAACGGGUGAGUAAUACGUGGGUAACCUGCCCUCCUUUUUGGGAUAAGCCUUGGAAACGGGGUCUAAUACCGAAUAUUCUGGCGCUCUCGCAUGGGGGUGUUGGGAAAGCUUUUGUGUGAAGGGGGAUGGGCUCGCGGCCUAUCAGCUUGUUGGUGGGGUGAUGGCCUACCAAGGCGGUGACGGGUAGCCGGCCUGAGAGGGUGACCGGCCACAUUGGGACUGAGAUACGGCCCAGACUCCUACGGGAGGCAGCAGUGGGGGAUAUUGCACAAUGGGCGAAAGCCUGAUGCAGCGACGCCGCGUGGGGGAUGAAGGCUUUCGGGUUGUAAACCUCUUUCGCUAUCGAACAAGGCCCGCUUAGGGUGGGUUGAGGGUAGGUGGAGAAGAAGCGCCGGCUAACUACGUGCCAGCAGCCGCGGUAAUACGUAGGGCGCGAGCGUUGUCCGGAAUUAUUGGGCGUAAAGGGCUUGUAGG